CAGCCAGGUCUGGUUUGGGAGGAGCUUCAGGCUUCAUAAGCUGGGAGGGAACUCAGCAGUGUCUGGUCUGGCAGGGUUCCUAGGUGGAGCUGACUGGAUGUAAAAGGAGGGCAAUUUCACCACAGUCCAGGAGUUGGUUACUUGCUUCUGUCUUUAGCAGUCAGACAAGCACCAUGAAGAGGCUGCUGUGCUCUCUGCUGGGGCUGCUGUGUGCCCAGGUUUGCUGGGUGAAAGGGCAACAGAUGAAGCAGAGUUCUGUGUCCUUGGUUCUGCCGGAGGAAGAGAGUGUAGAGCUGCAGUGCAACUUUUCCAUCUCUGUAAGGCAAGUGCAGUGGUUUUAUCAAAGUUCUCGGGGACACCUCAUCAGUCUGUUCUUCAAUCCUUCUGGAACAGAGCAGAGUGGAAGACUGAAGUCCACAACAGUCACUCAAGAACGCUGCAGCUUGGCGGAGCUCUCCUGAAUCCCGUCCCAGCCUUUAUCCAGGUACACCUUCCUCUCUUCCCCCCCUCCCCUCUGGAGACG